GGCUACACACGUGCUACAAUGGGUAGUACAGAGAGUCGCAAAGCCGUGAGGUAGAGCUAAUCUCAGAAAACUAUUCUUAGUUCGGAUUGUACUCUGCAACUCGAGUACAUGAAGUUGGAAUCGCUAGUAAUCGCAAAUCAGCAAUGUUGCGGUGAAUACGUUCUCGGGUCUUGUACACACCGCCCGUCACACCACGAGAGUUGGUUGCACCUGAAGUAGCAGGCCUAACCGUAAGGAGGGAUGCUCCGAGGGUGUGAUUAGCGAUUGGGGUGAAGUCGUAACAAGGUAUCCGUACGGGAACGU
rnacentral:rRNA from 1 species